UUCAUCCGAGAUUAGGGCUUCAUCGUUCCCUUCCUUCUUUACAGAACUCAAACCGCCGUUUUAUCAUUUCAUGAUCUGGAAAACUACCUCUUCUCUUCUCAUCUCUAAACCUCCCCUGACAUUAUCUCUUCACCUCCUCUGAGAUAUGAGCGGCUUGUGAGGAUGAUUGACCCUCAGAACCACCAUCAGUUUAUCAGAGAUGGCUUCCUCCGAUAUUGUUCUUGUGCACUCCACCUUCGACCCUCUCCGACUCGGUAGAUCUGCCCAGACCAUUGGUUGUCGUCGCCUCCAUUUUUGGACUCGAAAAACAUCAAGAAGCAAGGUGAAUUCAUGGGAAUUAUUCUACUCCUCCUUUAUGAGAAGAAAUCGGAGAUACAUGGGUUCAUUCUUGUUGGUCGCGCCCCUUAUUACCAUCCGUCUUUGCGAGCAGGUUCAGUCGUGAGAGUCUCAUGAUUUGAAGUUGCAAGAUGUACAAAUAUGUACAAGAUUACGGAACACCCUUUUGUGAUCUGGUUCAUCCCCCAAACCACCAUUGAUGAAGUAAUCGAGAAUGCUCUCAUCAUCAACCUAGAGAAAUUCAUGCUGCGGAAGUUUGACCCUUUUCAAGCUCUCGCUAACACUAAUUUAGAACUCCCUGUUGUUGUUGGGCAAUUUCAAUCUGUCCAAAGUUUGGACCUGAAGGACGCUACAGUGACGAGUCAAGUUGUUGUUCGUUUCGUGAUUGAACCGAGCAGUGUUUAGGGUCUCUUUAACUCAGGUGAAAGGGCAGAGUCUGUCAUGGUGGUCACUACUGUGAAUCCCAAAAUAUUUGGAGGUAACCUAUACCUCAGCUCAACACCAGCAACGAAAUUUUAUUUUGACCUAGUCCUUCAAGCCAUCACAGAGUUCACAGCCAGCUAUCAACUCAUUAGAUGUUUCGGUUGAACUAAUAAUUAGUCUUGUGGUUACUUGACGUAUUAUGCCAUCUGGUUCCAGCUUAGAAGGCCCAUUUGGAGAAGUUUUCCCAAGUACCGAUACCAAAGACGAAGAGAUAAAAAAGAAGGAAGUUGUCUCAAUAGGAGAUUUUAACAAGUUCAUCUCCAAUUCUGACGACCAGACACAUGAAGCUGAUUUUAUUUGCAAAGCUCGAGUUGUUGAGGUGUUGCAACAAAAUGGCUGGUCUUUCGUCUCUUUCUCUGGAUGCAGCAGGGAGCUUGAAAAAGCAGGGACUUCUCUCCAUUGAAACCGAUGUGUUAAUCCGAACGUUACCGAAGUUAUAAAUUGAGUAUUUUUAAAAUUAUAAAUGCAUAAAAUAAUAGACAAUUCAUAUCAUUACGAUUUUUAAUGCCAAUCUUUAUUCCAAGUACCGUGUUAAGUUAUUGGUUGAUGAUGGAAAUGAUAUUGCUAAUUUUGUGGUGUUCGACAGAGAGAUGCUUAAACUCACUAAGAAAGAUGCAGCUGUUCUGACUCUAGAUGAGAUGAAUGUUGGUGGAGGUGAGGAACUCCCACAAUGCCUGAAAGAACUAGCUGGAAAAUAUUUUGUAUUUCAGAUACGUGUGAAACCAUUCAAUUUCACCUCGAACCACCGUACUUUCACUGUUUUUGCAAUCGUUAAUCACAUCAACCCGAGAUUUUCAAUACCAAUGAAGCACCAUUUGUUCAAGAGGAAGGUGGUGAACCAUCCGCAUCUGUCACCUACAAGGUUGGGAUAAAGCCAAUGAACCAUAUCCAUCCGGUGUUGAAGGCAAAGAGGGUGGCCGUAAACGCUCCCGCCAUUGAAGUUACAAAGCUGUUAAGUGUUAACCCAAGUCUGCUUCUGUGUCUUUACAAUUUCAGGACUUACUUUGCAUUUUCUACUUCAGACUCUUAUAUUUUUUUCAAAUUUCCAGAUUUUUUUGCCAUUUACGGCUAACUAACUCCAUGAGGAGAACAGUUUUAAAGAUUUAAUAUAAAAAGGGCCGGUUGACAAAAUA